GUAAUUGUAGUUUAACCAAAACAUUAGAUUGUGAUUCUAAAGAUAGGGGUUAAAACCCCUUUAUUUACC
rnacentral:tRNA from 1 species